rnacentral:rRNA from 1 species
CCUACGGGCGGCAGCAGUGGGGGAUAUUGCACAAUGGAGGAAACUCUGAUGCAGCGACGCCGCGUGAGGGAAGACGGUCUUCGGAUUGUAAAGCUCUGUCUUUGGGGAAGAAAAUGACGGUACCCAAAGAGGAGGCUCCAGCUAACUACGUGCCAGCAGCCGCGGUAAUACGUAGGGUGCGAGCGUUAAUCGGAAUUACUGGGCGUAACGCGCUCGUAGGCGGUAUGUCAAGUCCAGGGUGAAAUCCCCGCGCUCAACGUGGGAACUGCCUUUGAAACUGGCGAACUAGAGUGUGUGAGAGGAAAGUGGAAUUCCAGGUGUAGGAGUGAAAUCCGUAGAUAUCUGGAGGAACACCAGUGGCGAAGGCGACUAACUGGCACAUAACUGACGCUGAGGAGCGAAAGCGUGGGUAGCAAACAGGAUUAGAUACCCCUGUAGUC